rnacentral:rRNA from 1 species
UACAGAGGGUGCAAGCGUUAAUCGGAAUUACUGGGCGUAAAGCGUGCGUAGACGGUUAUUUAAGUCAGGUGUGAAAGCCCCGGGCUCAACCUGGGAAUUGCAUUUGAGACUGAAUAGCUAGGGUGCGGAAGAGGGAAGCGGAAUUUCCGGUGUAGCGGUGAAAUGCGUAGAUAUCGGAAGGAACACCAGUGGCGAAGGCGACUUACUGGACUGUAACUGACGCUGAGGCAUGAAAGCGUGGGGAGCAAACAGG